CUUCGUACGAAGUGGAAAAGUUGGCUUUUAAGUGUUUCUUAUUUGAGACUGCUAGAUACAGGACCAUUUAUACGCCCUACAAAUACAUGAUUGAGAAAAAAUGGAAAAUUUGCGGGAAUUGAAUUUUUUUUAGGAUCAUGAAGGGUAAAAAUAAUGAGACUCGACUGUCAAUUGGCGACCAUCAUUGGGCCGACCGCAAGGCACCAAUAAUCCGACGGGAGUAAUCAUCCAAGGCUCGACAGAACAUUGGGCCAGUAUCUUUUCAAAACUUCGGAAAUGUUGAUUUUGGUGCGAUCUGCAAAUCAAUCCGGUCAUCCUACGUGGAAAGUUCGAUUAUUCCAUGAGAAUGAUUAUUCCAUGAGGUGGAAAGUAGUGAAGGGACAAGAACGAUAUCUUAACUCGAGGCGGCGUCAUAAACGCCAAGCGCAGGAGGCACUUGUAUCUCUCACUGGGGUCGUUGGUAACAAUGAGACAAACCGAGCGGUGAAGCUGCUUGUCUGCAAGGAUGGA